UACGUAGGUGGCGAGCGUUGUCCGGAAUAACUGGGCGUAAAGGGAGCGUAGGUGGUUGAUUAAGUUAAAUGUGAAAGCCCAGGGCUCAACUCUGGAACUGCAUUUAAUACUGGUCGGCUAGAGUACAGGAGGGGUAAACGGAAUUUCUAGUGUAGCGGUGAAAUGCGUAGAUAUUAGGAAGAACACCGGAGGCGAAGGCGGUUUACUGGACUGCAACUGACACUGAGGCUCGAAAGCGUGGGGAGCAAACA
rnacentral:rRNA from 1 species